rnacentral:lncRNA from 1 species
GUCCAUUGAGAUCGACAAAGAAGAAUAUGAGCAUGCAUGCUAGAGGCCCCGAGAUAAUGAAGAGCGUUUUUGAGGUAAGAAUUGAUUUGAGAGUGAGGUGGGAGCUCUCUGGAGGCGUGCGGAUGGGGAGGAGUGGGGCUCUUGGGUCAUCUGAGCUUGGAUGCAAUGCGUUAUCAGCCAUUUGAGAGAGAGAAGUGGCUGUUGGUUGUGCUCUUUUUCCCCCCCCUAAAUUUCCGUCCUUCAUAGGUUAUUGAAAAGAGAGAGAGAGAGAGGAGCUCUGGGAGGUUUUGGUUUGUGCUCAUAAAUUGCUUGGAAUCACCUAAAUAAAUGGAGGAAAAGUAUAUUGUAUGUGUCAAAGAUUGAAUAAUUGAAUUGAAGAGAGUUUUAAAAAUCUGCUUUUCGUCCAAGGAGAAGGUCCAAGUGGGCUUCUAAUAGCCAGGAGACAAAAGUUUGUGCGUCACCAAUAUGCUGCCUCAAUCCAGCUCAUCAGAUGAGGGAGAGAAAUUUUCGUCUGUCACAUAUUUGAGACCAGGACCC